rnacentral:tRNA from 1 species
CAGGGAGACAACAAAAUGUUUAAUAUUAUUAUUUUGUCACCUUAGGUCGAUCGGUAUCUCACGUUUUUAAUUUAUUAAGAAUUUCAUUUCCUAAGUUUUUCUAGGUCACACCCAUUAUUUUUCCUGGGCCAUUAGCUCAGGUGGUUAGAGCGCACCCCUGAUAAGGGUGAGGUCCCUGGUUCAAGUCCAGGAUGGCCCAUAUCUCUAUGUUGGGGGUAUAGCUCAGUUGGUAGAGCGCCUGCUUUGCAAGCAGGAUGUCAGCGGUUCGAGUCCGCUUACCUCCACUGAUUACCACCUCUUCCAUAAUCUGUAGAAGGGAAAUGUUUUGAGUUGUGAUCAAAUUCUGAAAGAAUCUAGCUUCCUAAUGAAAUCAUUAAGAUGCUGGACUCAUUGAAUUAAUUUCAUUGUUUUCAGAGAACCUUGACAACUGCAUAGAUUAUUUUUAAAGACAAUAAGCAUCUUUAAUGAUGCAGAUUUAUUAUUUGUGCGAAUGCAUUAAUAACAAUUCUAUUAAGCUGAUGCUUCAAUUUUGAAGUUAUU